CUGUUUGGUGGUCUCUUCACACGGACGCGCAUGAAAUUUGGUGCCAUGACUCGGAUCGGGGGACCUCCCUUGGGAGAUCAAUCCCCUGUCUUCCUGUUCUUUGCUCCGUGAGAAAGAUCCACCUACAACCUCAGGUCCUCAGACCGACCAGCCCAAGGAACAUCUCACCAAUUUUAAAUCAGCUCCAGGAGAAUGGGUGACUUGAACUGGCAAGGAGCAACCUGCUCUCUCCACGGGCCUCUGGAACCCCGGCAAGAGAAGAUCCCUUGAUCACCAUGGACACUCAAGUUGGCAAGAAGAGCUCCUUAGAGAAGUCGUGGGAGGGCAAGCAAGCUGAUGUGGAGCCAGGACGAUUUGAUGUGGGAGCACCUGCAGUGGAGCACAGCCAGGGAGAGCCAUCUCCCCAGGCCUGACUUGCUCCCAUAGGAGACUUUAGCCCUAGGGGAACUGUCCAUCCUGAUCUCUGCAGGGUGGUCUUGUCCAUCAGACAGGGCUGAUUCGACCUGAGCACCCCUUGGUCUGCUGGCCUUUCUGGGGUCCCAGCCUGGCCAGACCUGCUUGCAGGGCAGUCUUGGGUGCCCUGGAGGCCACGCCAUAGCUUCUGUGCUGGCAGAUAGUAUCUGACUGGUGGAGAGCUCCAGCAAGGCUGCCCCUAGGCCACACACCAGCCCAUCCACCCCCUCCCCACACUGCAGCUUCCCUAGGCCCAGGAAACUCCUCACGUGUCUUUGCUGGCACAAGUCUGCACAGAGAACAGUGGACCCUGCUCGCACCCUGAGUGAUCACUCCUGCUUGUGGGGCACAGAGAAGGUGUCCAGACCUGCUCACGCCAGUGCCCUGCCCCCAAGCCAACACCACAUCCAACAGGAGCCUGCACCCAGUCUUCAGCAUAGAGGUGAAAGAUCUCUACGAGGAGAACUAUGAAACACUGCUCAAAAUAAUCAAAUAUGAUACAAGCAAAUGGAAGAGCAUGCAAUGCUCAUGGAUAGGAAGAAUCAAUAUCAUAAAAAUGGCCAUACUGCCCAAAGCAAUUUAUAGAUUCAAUGCUAUUCCUAUUAAACUACCAUUGAUAUUCUUCACAAAACUAGAGAAAACUAUUUUAAAGUUCAUAUGGAACCAAAAAAGAGCCUGAAUAGCCAAGGAAAUCCUAAGCAAAAAGAACAAAGCUGGAAGCAUCAUGCUACCCAACUUCAAACUAUACUACAGGACUACAGUAACCAAAACAGCGUGGUACUGGUACAAAAACAGACACAUAGACCAAUGAAACAGAAUAGAGAACCCAGAAAUGGUUCUCUAUUUCACACACCUACAACUAUCUGAUCUUCGACAAACCUGAUAAAAACAAGCAAUAGGGAAAUGAUUCUGUAUUCAUUAAAUGAUGCUGGAAUAACUGGCUAGCCAUAUGCUGAAGAUUAAAACUGGACCCCUUCCUUAUACUGUACACAAAAAUCAACUCAAAAUGGAUGAAAGACUUAAAUGUAAAACCCAAAACUAUAACAACAAUAGAAGACAACCUAGGCAAUACCAUCUUGGAUAUAGGAACAGGCAAAAAUUUCAUGACAAAGACACCAAAAGCAAUUGAAACAAAAGCAAAAAUUGAAAAGUGGGUUCUAAAUAAAACUAAAGAGCUCCUGCACAGCAAAGAAAAUACAAACAGAGUGAACAGACAACCUACAGAAUGACAGUAUCUGCAAACUAUACAUCCAACAAAGAUCUAAUAUUCAGCAUCUAUAAGAAACUUAAACAAAUUUCCAAAAACAACCCCAUUAAAAAGUGGGCAAAGCAUAUGAACAGACACUUUUCAAAAGAAGACAUACAUGCAGCCAACAAACAUGAAAAAGGCUCAACACCACCAAUCAUUAGAGAAAUGCAAAUCAAAACCACAAUGAGAUACCAUCUCACACUAGUCAGAAUGGCUGAUGGCUGUUAUUAAAAAGUCAAAAAAUAACAGAUGCUGGCAAGGUUGUGGAGAAAAGGCAAUGCUUAUGCACUGUUGGUGGGAGUAUAAAUUAGUUCAAUCAUUGUGGUUGACAGUGUGGUGAUUCCUCAAAGAUCUGAAAACAGAAAUAUAAUUCUACCUAGCAAUGCUACUACUGGGUAUAUACCCAAAGAAAAAUAAAUUGUUCAAUUAUAAAGA
rnacentral:lncRNA from 1 species